rnacentral:rRNA from 1 species
CGGUAACCUACCCUCGGGAGGGGGAUAACCCCGGGAAACUGGGGCUAAUUCCCCAUAGGCCUGAGGUACUGGAAGGUCCUCAGGCCGAAAGGGACUUAUGUCCGCCCGAGGAUGGGCCGGCGGCCGAUUAGGUAGUUGGUGGGGUAAUGGCCCACCAAGCCGAAGAUCGGUACGGGCUGUGAGAGCAGGAGCCCGGAGAUGGACACUGAGACACGGGUCCAGGCCCUACGGGGCGCAGCAGGCGCGAAACCUCCGCAAUGCGGGAAACCGCGACGGGGGGACCCCGAGUGCCGUGGCAACGCCACGGCUUUUCCGGAGUGUAAAAAGCUCCGGGAAUAGGGGCUGGGCAAGGCCGGUGGCAGCCGCCGCGGUAAUACCGGCGGCCCGAGUGGUGGCCGCUAUUAUUGGGCCUAAAGCGUCCGUAGCCGGGCCCGUAAGUCCCUGGCGAAAUCCCACGGCUCAACCGUGGGGCUUGCUGGGGAUACUGCGGGUCUUGGGACCGGGAGAGGCGGGGGGUACCCCUGGGGUAGGGGUGAAAUCCUAUAAUCCCAGGGGGACCGCCAGUGGCGAAGGCGCCCCGCUGGAACGGGUCCGACGGUGAGGGACGAAGGCCAGGGGAGCAAACCGGAUUAGAUACCCGGGUAGUCCUGGCUGUAAAGGAUGCGGGCUAGGUGUCGGGUGAGCCUCGAGCUCGCCCGGUGCCGUAGGGAAGCCGUUAAGCCCGCCGCCUGGGGAGUACGGCCGCAAGGCUGAAACUUAA